AGUGAACGCUGGCGGUAGGCCUAACACAUGCAAGUCGAACGGCAGCACAGUAAGAGCUUGCUCUUACGGGUGGCGAGUGGCGGACGGGUGAGGAAUACAUCGGAAUCUACUUUUUCGUGGGGGAUAACGUAGGGAAACUUACGCUAAUACCGCAUACGACCUACGGGUGAAAGCAGGGGAUCUUCGGACCUUGCGCGAUUGAAUGAGCCGAUGUCGGAUUAGCUAGUUGGCGGGGUAAAGGCCCACCAAGGCGACGAUCCGUAGCUGGUCUGAGAGGAUGAUCAGCCACACUGGAACUGAGACACGGUCCAGACUCCUACGGGAGGCAGCAGUGGGGAAUAUUGGACAAUGGGCGCAAGCCUGAUCCAGCCAUACCGCGUGGGUGAAGAAGGCCUUCGGGUUGUAAAGCCCUUUUGUUGGGAAAGAAAAGCAGCAGGUUAAUACCCCGCUGUUCUGACGGUACCCAAAGAAUAAGCACGGGCUAACUUCGUG
rnacentral:rRNA from 1 species